GAUGAACGCUGGCGGCGUGCCUAAUACAUGCAAGUCGAGCGAACGGACGAGAAGCUUGCUUCUCUGAUGUUAGCGGCGGACGGGUGAGUAACACGUGGAUAACCUACCUAUAAGACUGGGAUAACUUCGGGAAACCGGAGCUAAUACCGGAUGAUCUUUUGAACCGCAUGGUUCAAAAGUGAAAGACGGUCUUGCUGUCACUUAUAGAUGGAUCCGCGCUGCAUUAGCUAGUUGGUAAGGUAACGGCUUACCAAGGCAACGAUGCAUAGCCGACCUGAGAGGGUGAUCGGCCACACUGGAACUGAGCCACGGUCCAGACGCCUACGGGAGGCAGCAGUAGGGAAUCUUCCGCAAUGGGCGAAAGCCUGACGGAGCAACGCCGCGUGAGUGAUGAAGGUCUUCGGAUCGUAAAACUCUGUUAUUAGGGAAGAACAUAUGUGUAAGUAACUGUGCACAUCUUGACGGUACCUAAUCAGAAAGCUACGGCUAACUACGUG
rnacentral:rRNA from 1 species